GCCACAUGAAUCUAAUCUCCCAAGUCUAAACGUAGCAAAGCGAGAUUAGAUUAUUUUGUUUUAUUGUCUUAAUUUCACCCAGUCUAAACGUAGCAAGGUGAAGUUAAGUUGUCUUGUAUUAAUUGUUUAAACUCAUAGGUUAAACGUAGCACUUGAGUAAGAUGUAUUGUGUUAAAAUUGUAUAACUGUGUGUAUAUGGUUUAAAUUUUGAUAAACUGUGACAUCAUUUGAGAAGAGAUUUUUGUGUAAACUCCAGUUGUCAGUCAGUAUACAGACUGAAAAUUGUGACCUUUCGAUCUCUCAAAAGGUGAUAUAGUGGUGUGUAAAAGUACAAGUAACAGAAAUGGGGUUGAAUCAUGGCAAGCAGCUUGAUCAUGGGGAUAGUAUACCCAGUGAUUCCCCAGUUUAUU